rnacentral:rRNA from 1 species
UGGGGAAUCUUGGACAAUGGGCGAAAGCCUGAUCCAGCCAUGCCGCGUGAGUGAAGAAGGCCUUAGGGUUGUAAAGCUCUUUUGCCCGGGAAGAUAAUGACGGUACCGGGAGAAUAAGCCCCGGCAAACUUCGUGCCAGCAGCCGCGGUAAUACGAAGGGGGCUAGCGUUGUUCGGAUUUACUGGGCGUAAAGCGCACGUAGGCGGAUUGUUAAGUCGGGGGUGAAAUCCUGGAGCUCAACUCCAGAAUUGCCUUCGAUACUGGCUUUCUAGAGGCUGGAAGAGGUUAGUGGAAUUCCCAGUGUAGAGGUGAAAUUCGUAGAUAUUGGGAAGAACACCAGUGGCGAAGGCGGCUAACUGGUCCAGAUCUGACGCUGAGGUGCGAAAGCGUGGGGAGCAAACAGG